UCCCAAAGUGCUGGGAUUACAGGCGUGAGCCACCGCGCCCGGCCCUCUUUGGCUUUCUUGAAACCAGCUCUGUGAUAUCUUCCUCUGCUCAAGUCAUAGACUUAGCCAUUGCUUUUCAUAAGGUGUUAGUAGACACUGAGAUAAACCUAAGGGUUGGCCUCAUAGCUACUAAGAGUUUUAUGAGCAGUUGAAAAUGUUCACUUUACGUAAUAAGAUGCCAUAUCUAGUUUAUCUGGCAACAAUUUCUAUGAGGCUGAAAUAUUACAGUGCUGUGGAUUCUUACUAUUCUUUAUAUAGAAUUUGAAAAAUAGUGAUAAAAGUAUAAAUGGAGAGUACAGUUCUAAUAAUUUAAAAGUGUCUUUUCAAAUAUGGAGAUCUGGCCAGGUUAUCUUAACAUAAAAAACAUUUUAUUAUCUCUUAAAAUCCGCAGGUGCCUUUCAGAAUCUCCUCUCCCAGGACGGUCAGGAAUGGGCUCUGGGAUGAUGUGUCUCUAUGUCCAUCCAUAAGAAGCCCCAAAAGGGACAAAGCAGCAACUGAAUAAAUUGCUGCUAAUGUCAAAAAUAAAAGUGAAGUGCUCUCUUUGCCAGCACAUAUACUGAAAUUGAAAUGACACAGAGGAGAUUAGCAUGGCCCCUGUGCAAGGAUGACAUGCAAAUUUGUGAAGCCUUCCAUAUAAUAUAAUUUUGAAUUUUAUUUAAAAAGUGAAGAGACACACUUUCAUGUAAUAAUUUGAUUAUAUAAUUUAGCUUGAAUAAAAAGGGUUAAAUGAAUUCAUUAAUUCCUAUUCACUUACACAUACACAGAGCCAAUUCCUAUGCCCAUAUGCAGAAUCCUAUCAUGCAAAACAAUGGUAGGAAGAUAGCUUGUAAGUGUCAAAAAUUAUCAAGUUAUAUUUAUGGUUAGCCCUAUAGAGACAAUUAUUAGUAGGUUUUACUUUUGAUAAAAUCAAUGGUUUUAAUAGCAAUUGUGUUCAUGAAAAAGGCAGAUAUUGGAAAAUUAAAAUUUGCCAAGGUGGUAAUUUGGAAAACAUUUUUUGUAUUAUCAAAACAUUCUUAGGUUGACAAAACAGUAGAUUCUGGCUUUGCUUUAAAUGUGGAGCUUCCCUGAUGCACUUAACCCAUGCUUCAUUUUACAAACUUCUUCAGCAACAGCGUUAUUACCAAAAAAAGGGUGCAAGUAACUGGUCAGAGAUUGCAACUAUGGUCAGAGAAUGGAAAACUUCUGGAAUCAGAAAACCAUGAGUUUGAGCUCUGACUCUGCAUGAGCUGCGUCUAAUGGUACAAGCUGUUGUUCUCUCUGAGACUCGGUUUCUUUCCUCUAAAUGGAGAGAUGUGACACAUCUGGGAUUUGUCAUUAGGAAAAGCUGAA
rnacentral:lncRNA from 1 species